GUAACAAGGUCUCCGUUGGUGAACCAGCGGAGGGAUCAUUACUGAGUUACCGCUCUAUAACCCUUUGUGAACAUACCUACAACUGUUGCUUCGGCGGGUAGGCCGUCCCCUGAAAAGGACGCCUCCCGGCCCGGACCGGACCCCCCGCGGGACCGGACCCGGCGCCCGCCGGAGGAUAACCAAACUCUAUUGUAACGACGUUUCUUCUGAGUGGCAUAAGCAAAAUAAUCAAAACUUUUAACAACGGAUCUCUUGGUUCUGGCAUCGAUGAAGAACGCAGCGAAAUGCGAUAAGUAAUGUGAAUUGCAGAAUUCAGUGAAUCAUCGAAUCUUUGAACGCACAUUGCGCCCGCCAGCAUUCUGGCGGGCAUGCCUGUUCGAGCGUCAUUUCAACCCUCAAGCUCUGCUUGGUGUUGGGGCUCUACGGUCGACGUAGGCCCUCAAAGGUAGUGGCGGACCCUCCCGGAGCCUCCUUUGCGUAGUAACAUUUCGUCUCGCACUGGGAUCCGGAGGGACUCUUGCCGUAAAACCCCCCAAUUUCCAAAGGUGACCUCGGAUCAGG
rnacentral:rRNA from 1 species